CACCAGGUUGAUUCUGCCUGACGUGGGUGCUAGCCUCUAAGAUUUAGCCAUGCAUGCUUUGUGAACCCAGACGGGGGAACGGCGAACGGCUCAGUAAUGUUGCGGUGAUCUGCUCUGGUUGAGAAAGAUAACCACGGUAAACUGUGGCUAAGAGACCAGAAUGAGCUGCAACCCUAUCAGUUUGUUGGAAGUGUAAAAGACUCCCAAGACGUCGACGGGUAACGGGAAAUCAGUGUUUGAUUCCGGAGAGGGAGCCUGAGAGAUGGCUCCCACGUCCAAGGAUGGCAGCAGGCGCGAAAAUUGUCCACUCUUUGGAGAGGAGACAGUUAUGAGGCGUGAUUAAAAGAGCGAAGUGUAAACACCUUCGUGUAACGCAAUUGGAGGGCAAGUUUUGGUGCCAGCAGCCGCGGUAAUUCCAACUCCAAGAGUGCCCAUGGUGGAUGCUGCAGUUAAAAAGUCCGUAGUCGUAGAUGCAAUUAAAGGGUGCGGAUCAAGCGCACUGAGUUUGUUGAGUUGUAGCGGAGCGGAUAGGGAGCAUGGUAUAGGUUGGCGAAGAAUGAAAUUCUCAAGACCCAACCUGGACCAAAUGAGGCGAAAGCGGUGCUCUUAUACGCAUCCGAGGAUCAAAGGACGAAGGCUGGAGGAUCGAAAGUGAUUAGAUACCGCUGUAGUUCCAGCAGUAAACUAUGCCGACAUUCUCUGUCCAGCGGACGGGGAAGGGAGAAAUCUUAGUUUUCGGGCUCUGGGGAUAGUACGCUUGCAAGAGUGAAACUUAAAGCGAAAUUGACGGAAGGACACUAACCAGGAGUGGAUUGUACUGCUUAAUUUGACUCAACGCGGGAAAACUUACCAGGGUCAAGUUCUCCGUAGAUCGAGUACGUGAGGGGAACGAGAGUGGUGCAUGGCCGUUGGAAAUUGAUGGGAUGACUUUUAGCUUAAAUGCUGAAACCAGUGAGAUCUUCUAGACAGGUGCCAUCCGGCACAGGAGGGCGAAGGCGAUAACAGGUCCGUGAUGCCCUUAGAUAUCCUGGGCUGCAAGUGCAAUACAAUAUCCAUGUCGAUCAAGAAAGGUGAUUAUGGAUGAGCAGGAUUAGCUCUUGUAAAUGAGCUAUGAAUGAGGAAUUCCUAGUAACAGUGUCUCACUAAGGCAUUGUGAAUGCGUCCCUGUUCUUUGUACACACCGCCCGUCACUAUUUCAGAUGGCCAUGAAGAUGAAGAGCUUCGGUUCUGAAUAUUCAUGUCUAGAUAAAGUACAAGUCGUAACAAGGUUGCNNNNNNNNNNNNNNNNNNNNNNNNNNNN
rnacentral:rRNA from 14 species